rnacentral:rRNA from 1 species
GAAGAACGCUAGCUGCGGCCUUAACACAUGCAAGUCUAGGGGAAACGGCAUUGAUUGCUUGCACUCUUUGGACGUCGACCGGCGCACGGGUGAGUAACGCGUAUCCAACCUUCCCAUUAGUGUGGGAUAACCUGCCGAAAGGCAGACUAAUACCGCAUAGUCUUCGAUGACCGCAUCAGAUUUGAAGUAAAGAUUUAUCGGCAAUGGACGGGGAUGCGUCUGAUUAGCUUGUUGGCGGAGUAACGGCCCACCAAGGCGACGAUCAGUAGGGGUUCUGAGAGGAACGCCCCCCUCAUUGGAACUGACACACGCGUCCAACCUCCUACGGGAGGCAGCAGCGAGGAAUUUUGGUCGAUGGACGGAAUUCUGAACCAUCCAAGUACGGUGGAGGAUGACGGCCCUAUGGGUUGUAAACUGCUUUUGGAUGGAGAUAAAGAUUAGGGACGUGUCCCUAUGUUGCGGCACCAUACAAAUAAAGACCGGCUAUUUCCGCGCCCCCCCCCGCGGUAAUACUGAAGGUCCAGGCGUUAUCCGGAUUUAUUGGGUUAAAGGGAGCGUAGGCUGGAGAUUAAGUGUGUUGUGAAAUGUAGACGCUCAACGUCUGAAUUGCAGCGCAUACUGUUUUCCUUGAGUACGCACAACGUUGGCGGAAUUCGUCGUGUAGCGGUGAAAUGCUUAGAUAUGACGAAGAACUCCGAUUGCGAAGGCAGCUGACGGGAGCGCAACUGACGCUUAAGCUCGAAGGUGCGGGUAUCAAACAGGAUUAGAUACCCUGGUAGUCCGCACAGUAAACGAUGGAUGCCCGCUGUUGGUACCUGGUAUCAGCGGCUAAGCGAAAGCAUUAAGCAUCCCACCUGGGGAGUACGCCGGCAACGGUGAAACUCAAAGGAAUUGACGGAGGCCCGCACAAGCGGAGGAACAUGUGGUUUAAUUCGAUGAUACGCGAGGAACCUUACCCGGGCUUGAAUUGCAGAGGAAGGAUUUAGAGAUAAUGACGCCCUUCGGGGCCUCUGUGAAGGUGCUGCAUGGUUGUCGUCAGCUCGUGCCGUGAGGUGUCGGCUUAAGUGCCAUAACGAGCGCAACCCCUCUCUUCAGUUGCCAUCAGGUAGUGCUGGGCACUCUGGAGACACUGCCACCGUAAGGUGUGAGGAAGGUGGGGAUGACGUCAAAUCAGCACGGCCCUUACGUCCGGGGCUACACACGUGUUACAAUGGCCGGUACAGAGGGAUGGUGUAAUGCAAAUUGCAUCAAAUCUUGAAAGCCGGUCCCAGUUCGGACUGGGGUCUGCAACCCGACCCCACGAAGCUGGAUUCGCUAGUAAUCGCGCAUCAGCCAUGGCGCGGUGAAUACGUUCCCGGGCCU